rfam:Salmo salar isolate Sally breed double haploid chromosome ssa19, whole genome shotgun sequence.
UGGCUCAGUUGGUAGAGCAUGGUGUGUGCAACACCAGGGUUGUGGGUUUGAUUCCCAU